AGUGCCUGGCACUGUCGCCAGCGGCGCAUUGACGGGACCCUGGUAUUGCUAUCUGGAAGAUCAUAAUACACAGAGUUUUCUCUGUGUGUAUAACUAGGGGACAGAGUGAGACUGGGGGGUCUAUAUUGAGGAACCAGGGACUGAGAUCUGUUCGACUGCCUGGCCAUACUACGGUCUUGCAUGUGGAAAUAACGGAAUGAGUGAGGGGCUAGCGCAAAGGCGUCGAGUGUAGGAACCUAAAGUGAAAUUGAAAAGUAUACUUUUCGAAUUUUUUUGAUAAUCAAAAGUCGACUUUUUCUGAUAAUCAAAAAGUUGACUUUCGACUGUUUUUUAUUAUCAAAAUGUUGACUUUUGCCUUUUUUCAAUUAACAAAAAUAAGCGCGGUAUACUAUUGUUGUCUAUGGUCUGCAUUUAAAAAUUGGAAUAUUAAAGCUUUUACAAUCACAUUUAGUACUCGAUUUCACUGAAAUUUUAAAUGGGCGAACAAUGUGAGAAAUGUAGGGCCCAAAGAGGAACUCUUUCAGAAUUGAAUUUGAUUACAAAAAAAUUGUCGUGUCUUUAAAACCAAAAUCUAAACAAAGAUACAAAUAUUGUAAUCAUUUACUUUGUAACGCUUGAACAACAAUGAACCGACUGAUGAAAACGCAACCUACUUGCAAUAUAUGUAUAUUAGGUAUGUACAACAUAGACAAAUAUGCCACUGAAGCUGAAUUCUGCAAACAAUUCAAUUUUAACUCUCUGGCCUGCAUAUUGGGAAUAGUCAUUCAAAACAAGAAAAACAAAAAUUGCACUGCAACGCAAAGAGUAUAGCAAACUAACACAGUUGUAUGUGAAAGACUUUGAAAUAACUUUGUAUCUAAAUUUAUAAACACACUUUGGUGGUGGCGAAGAGUUCUCAUCAUAA
rnacentral:sRNA from 1 species